rnacentral:antisense_RNA from 1 species
AGGAAGACUGCCCUGGAUAGGGACUAUACCAAGUUCUUCUUUGCAGCAAAACCUCAGGGUCUUGAGUCUUGUGUUCACAUCUUUUUACUAAGAAGGGCUCCUCCAGACUCCUGGUAUACAUUUGUUGGAGGCCUUAAGGUGCAUGGUAAGCAGAGAGCAUCACACCUGAGCAGCAUUCUUACUCAGCUCAACAGCAAUAUCUGAGCCCGAGUUUCCCAUUCCAAUCACCAGGAUGCGUUUUCCCUCAAAUCCAUCUGGAUGCUUGUAUUGGCGGCUAUGGAAAUAUUGGCCUUUGAACCUCUCAAUACCUUCAGGGGGAAGAAGAGAGAAGUCUGUGAGCUCCAGAGCAACUAUGUCAAGCUAAUUUCAAUAAAACUGCAUUGCCAGCUUUUCCUUUCUGGAGUCAA